CCCUAUCCACCCACUGCCUCCGCCACUUAUCCCUCUCUCCUACGGCUCUGGAUUUAGAUCCGCCACCCACUGGCACCCUCACAUCUCGCCGCCGGUAUCCCCAAGCCGUCAUCCUCCCACCCUCCCUGUCUCUGUCUCCCCUCCUCAGAGAGGAGAGGGAGAUCACCGCCAUGGCGACAGCCAGAUCUGGGAUGGCCGCAGGCACCUCUCCCUACUCGCAAAGGCUAUAGGCUUUGCCAGUAUGGGACAGGAGGAUUGCUUCCUCAAGUUGCUUCUGCUCGGCCAUGCAUGAGGAGAUGCCAUGGACGCCGAUGUCAAGCUCCGUUGCUUUGACCCCUAUCCAGAUCCGCCCCCUUCUCUCUUCCCCUCUUCGAUCUGCCCUUCUUCCAUUUCCUUCCCCGAGGCAUGCAUUUUCUAUUGUUUUUCUUCCUCACACAGGCACCUGCACCACAAACUCUAUGCAAGGAGAGGAGUGAGGGUGCUGUAGGGAGAAAAGGGAAGAACGUGAUGCACCUGAGGAGCGAGGGGUUGACAUCUUGGUUCCUGCUUGACCACGUUGCCUAUGUCAAACACUAAAACAAGCACACUGCCGUAUCUGUACCGGCAAGAUCUCUUUUCACACCAUCCAGUCCAAAACCAAAAGCUGUUGUAUUCUCUGAUGAACUUCAAGGCAACGGAAAUGCAGCAGGAUAUAUGCAAGAUUCCUUGGGUACUUUGCACAAGAUAUUCAUGACACGCAAGCAGAGCCAUAUUAACAUAGAUAUAUUAAUCCUACUUGUUGUUGCCUCUCACAACUGCAUGAGAUGAUAGUUGCCAUGAAGAGCAUCGAUUGCAAGAAAUUGAAUAAGAAACUUUUAUAUAUGUUGAUGUAAAUUGGAUUGUGCUGGUCCUAAACAUGCUAUGUGUUGUAUUUUGUCAAUUCGUGUUGUACAUUAUCAUUUCAUGGAGGAUUUUGCAAACUGCUAUGUUGUACAUAUCGGUAGAUGGCUGCAAAAAUACUACAUGGUCUUUCUAUUUUA